CAUUUAUUAGGGCAGCGAAUGCUUCAAAAUUUAUUUAGAAGAGAUUUAAGAACAGAGUCUCUCUCCUGGUCAUUAAAAAUCUCUAACUUUUUUCUCUUCGAGCCUGAAGUCACAUUACCAGUAAUGGUUGUCCUCAACGUAAGACUGAAAUUGAGCCCUGAAUUACAGUGGAAGAGGCCAAAGGCCACCAAAGGAGUCAGCCACCGGGCCGCCCAGACACUGCUAAACCCAGAACAUCUGGAAAAGAUGUUCGGCGCUCUUCUGCUGCAGGAAGAGCGACGUAGAGGACCUUCCUGUGCCUCCUGACAGAACUGACGAGGCACAUGAACAGGCGGACCAGAAGGGAGAAUGGUGGACACAGAUUCGUGUGUCCGAUGGACGCAGGCCUUCCUCCCAAGGGGGUUUGAUGGGUGUUCGUGCCACCGCCCGGAGCCCCAGGAAGGAAGAGGUGAUGCCAGUUCUCAUUUCAGUGAGGUAGGUGUUCGCAGAUUAAGUAUUCUGAACCCCCCUAAAAGGCAGCCGCAGUAAAGCCCUAAAGAGAAGGGCUAGAAGAAACCUUUGCAGAGGCAGGGGGGGCAUCGCAUGGCUAGUUUUGAUCU